GGCUUUGAAGUGCGGUCGCUAGUUCGCAUGGAGCCAACGUUGAAAUACCACCCUGGUGCGUUUGAGGUUCUAACCCAGGUCCCUUAUCGGGAUCGGGGACAGUGCAUGGUAGGCAGUUUGACUGGGGCGGUCUCCUCCCAAAGCGUAACGGAGGAGUUCGAAGGUACGCUAGUUACGGUCGGACAUCGUGACGAUAGUGCAAUGGCAUAAGCGUGCUUAACUGCGAGACUGACAAGUCGAGCAGAUGCGAAAGCAGGACAUAGUGAU
rnacentral:rRNA from 1 species